CCCGCUGAACUUAAGCAUAUCAAUAAGCGGAGGAAAAGAAACUAACAAGGAUUCCCCUAGUAACUGCGAGUGAAGCGGGAAGAGCUCAAAUUUAAAAUCUGGCGGUCUCGCGGCCGUCCGAGUUGUAAUCUGGAGAAGCGUUUUCCGCGUCGGACCGUGUACAAGUCUUCUGGAACGGAGCGUCGUAGAGGGUGAGAAUCCCGUCUCUGACACGGACAGCCGAUGCUUCACGUGAUACGCUCUCGAAGAGUCGAGUUGUUUGGGAAUGCAGCUCAAAAUGGGUGGUAAAUUCCAUCUAAAGCUAAAUAUUGGCGAGAGACCGAUAGCGAACAAGUACCGUGAGGGAAAGAUGAAAAGCACUUUGGAAAGAGAGUUAAACAGUACGUGAAAUUGUUGAAAGGGAAACGUUUGAAGUCAGUCGCGUCGGCCGAGACUCAACCUUGCGCUCGCGCUCGGUGCACUUCUCGGUUGACGGGUCAGCAUCAAUUUCGACCGCCGGACAAAGGUUGGGGGAAUGUGGCAUCCUUCGGGAUGUGUUAUAGCCCUUGAUUCACAUACGGCGAUUGGGAUUGAGGAACUCGGCGCCUCGCGCGUCCAGGAUGCUGGCAUAAUGGCUUUAAGCGACCCGUCUUGAAACACGG
rnacentral:rRNA from 1 species